UACGAAGGGGGCUAGCGUUGCUCGGAAUGACUGGGCGUAAAGGGCGCGUAGGCGGUUUGCACAGUCAGAUGUGAAAUUCCCGGGCUUAACCUGGGGGCUGCAUUUGAUACGUGUGGGCUUGAGUGAGGAAGAGGGUUGUGGAAUUCCCAGUGUAGAGGUGAAAUUCGCAGAUAUUGGAUGGAACACCAGUGGCGAAGGCGACUAACUGGACCGACAUUGACGCUGAGGCACGAAAGCGUGGGUAGCAAACAGG
rnacentral:rRNA from 1 species